rnacentral:rRNA from 1 species
CAUGUCCUUUUGAUUUUAAUUUAAGGUCUAAUCUGCUCAAUGAGGAUUUAAAUUGCCGCGGUAUCUUGACCGUGCAAAGGUAGCAUAAUAAUUAGUUUUUUUAUUGGGAGCUGGAAUGAAUGAUUGGACGAGGGAAUAACUGUCUCCUUACAAUUUAAUUUUUAAUUUAACUUUUGAGUAAAAAGGCUCAAAUUUUUUUAAAAGACGAGAAGACCCUAUAGAGUUUAACAUUUCUUGUUUAUAAAAAUUUUUUGGUAUUUUUUUAUUUUUGUUUCUUGAUUUGUUUAGUUGGGGUGACUAGAAGAUAAAUUAAACUCUUCUAAAAAAUUAAAUCAUUGAUUUUUGAAUUGUGAAUCUAGUAUUAUUCUAAAUUUAAUAUAAAUUACCUUAGGGAUAACAGCGUAAUCUCUCUUUAGAGUUCUUAUUGAAAGAGGGGGUUGCGACCUCGAUGUUGGAUUAAAAUUUAUUUUUGGUGCAGAAGCUUUAAAAUUAAGUCUGUUCGACUUUUAAAAUUUUACAUGAUCUGAGU